ACGUUAGCGUCUGGUUUCAUGAAGGAUGAUGGCGGCGCGUGCAGACGCAGCGGCUUCUUCUUACUUCGUCUUUUAAUUCACCGUGACCAGCAGACUUAGAGACAGCUUUAUCAUUCAGGCUGUCAGAAUGCUGAACCCCUCUCCCAUUUCUUCCUCCCCUUCCCUCUCUGUCCCCUGCCCCCACAAACUCUGGUCUCCCCCUGGCUCCGUGAACCACAUAUUCUGGACUAUAUCACCGUUAAGGUGAAUUACACAGGCUGUUUACUGACACCAGCCACUUUAACGUUUUAUCGCGUGGGUAAGAGUGUGUUUGUGUUUCCGUGACUGAGGCUUCCCUAACAUGAGUUGUGGACCCCCAACGUGGAAACACGUUUUCGCUCUUGAUAGUCUGUUUAAAUCCCAAUUGUAAUUGUUUACAGUCACUUUAUCGACAUUUUGCAUCUCUGUGUGAUUUUGUGUUCCAUCCUGAUAAUUUUAGCUCAGUUUAUAGUGGUCUAUCAUGUCAUUGUCAUCACUUUGUGUCUAUUUGUGGUCAUUUUGCAUUACAUUACAUCUGUACCUGGCUGCUUUACACCUGGAUGUCAGUUUAGCAACAGCAAAUUUGAGGUGCCGCCACGGCCACGCCCUUUGACGAAAACUCAACCUUUUCAUAACUUUUAAUGACAAAGGCGAUAACGGUAUAUUAUCUGAGUUUGAAGUCGAUAUGAUUCGUUCAAAUACAGUGUCCCCAAAUGGCGAAAAAUAAGCAAAAUUGUAUAUUAAAGUCAAAAUGGCUGACUUCCUGUUGGUUUGAGGUCAUGACAUCAGGAGACCUUAAGUACAUUUGGGCAUGUUAUGUAUGUGGUCUGAAUUUCGUCCACCUACAAUGAACUAAGCCCAAUGAGGAAUCACUUUUGAAUGUUUACGGGGGGCCCUAUAGAGCCAUUUUGCACCAUUUUUGAAGUCUUAUAGUAUAGUGGGGCAUAAAAAUGUUUUGUUGAAUGUUCUGUUUCAGCUGUAAUGUUUAAUAUUUAUCUGUGUUUUCAUGGUUACACUGGAUGAGGACUAGGUAGUAGUGUAUCGAUGAUUUUCCUUUGUAUGUUUGUCUUUAAUUCCCUUCAGGCGUCACCACAUUGUCAACAUAAUCGUUUACGAUCGCAGAGACUUCGUCCAUGAUUGCAGAGACAUUGUUGAGGAUGAGGGAGACAUCGUCCAUGAUCAGAGACAUUGUCCAUGAUCGCAGAGACCUUGUCAAAGAUGAGAGAGACGUUGUCCAUGAUCAGAGACAUUGUCCCAUGCUUCGUAGAGACCUUGCGAUAGAAUUGGCGGAGACGGGGGUCACCGAUUUGACGGCAUUGCCCGCGAUCAUGGAGACAUUGUCGAUGAUCACAGAGACACCGUCUAUGAUCUCAGAGACAUCGUCCACGAUCACAAAGUCAUUGUCCAUGAUCACAGAGACUUUGUCCAUAAUCUCAGAGACAUUGUCCACAAUCACAGAGAUGUAGUCCACGAUCACAGAGAUGUUGUGCACGAUUGCAGAGAGUCUUCAUACAAUGAAGUUCUUUGAGACCAGGACAGAGGCCUCCAGGCCUCACCACAUUGUCAACAUCAUCGUUUACGAUCGCAGAGACUUCGUCCAUGAUUGCAGAGACAUUGUUGAGGAUGAGGGAGACAUCGUCCAUGAUCAGAGACAUUGUCCAUGAUCGCAGAGACCUUGUCAAAGAUGAGAGAGACGUUGUCCAUGAUCAGAGACAUUGUCCCAUGCUUCGUAGAGACCUUGCGAUAGAAUCGGCGGAGACGGGGGUCACCGAUUUGACGGCAUUGCCCGCGAUCAUGGAGACAUUGUUGAUGAUCACAGAGGCACCGUCUAUGAUCUCAGAGACAUCGUCCACGAUCACAAAGUCAUUGUCCAUAAUCACAGAGACUUUGUCCAUAAUCUCAGAGACAUUGUCUGCAAUCAAAGAGAUGUAGUCCACGAUCACAGAGAUGUUGUACACGAUCGCAGAGAGUUUUCACACAAUGAAGUUCUUUGAGACCAGGACAGAGGCCUCCAGGUGUCACCACUUCGUCAUCGUCAUCAUUUAUGAUCGCUGAGACGUCGUCUACGAUUGCAGAGUCAUUGUCUAUGAUUGCAGAGACAUUAUCUAUGAUUUCAGAAACAAGACGGAGAAGACGACGGCAGCUGAAGACCUGAAGUGAAUGAAAGGAAAGUGUUACGAAGCUGUUCAUUAGAUAAAAGACCUCUACCAUCUAACUGCUGUAAACAGUGGUGGUGUCCUGUUCAUCAAGUGAAAACACUUAGUCUACCAUAUAUAAGUUAGUCAUGGGCACAUUUUCAAAGACUAAUAUGUCUUUAUUAAACACCUGUGAGAACAUUCAACUGCUUAUGAUACAACUAUUUAAUUAAUAAUUGUACCACAAGCAGUUAAAUGAUCACCACGAUGGCUAGAAGACCUGUUCAUCUUUGGAAAAUGUGCUCAUAACUACAUUAUCCCUAACCUGCUCAAACAAGUGUAUGCUGUGAUUUGUCAAAUGUCUGGAAUAAAAUCAUUAAAUGUGUCUUCCUAAACUAUUUAGUUGCAUUUUAUAUUCAUUCUAUUUUUUUAAAGGUUUUACACUCAUUGUUCAGACAUAUUUUAAGGGUUAUUUAAAUAAUUUUUAUAGUUUCCUAAUUAUGUUUUAGUUUUAAAUAAAGAUUGUAAGGGCUUUAUACUUGUUUUCUAGACUUAUUGUUUAAGGUUUCACAUUUAACGUUUUGUGAUUUGAUACUUAUUGUCCAGACAUUUGUUAAGGUUCUAAAUUUAUUUUUUACAGGUUUAAUGCAUAAUUCUUAGACCUAUUUUAAAGGUUCUAACUUUAUCAAACCUGUUUUUUAAGGUUUCUUAAAUGUUUUAACCUUAUUUUUUAGAGCUAUUCCUUUUAAGGUUUGAAAUAAUUUACAUAGAUUUUUAGAUUUGUUUUUUGUUAAAUAUCAAACUUUUUUUGUUCAAAAAUACUAAUUAAAACUUAUAAAUUAAAGCAGCUUUCAUUUGUUGCUGUUUGUUCCAGAAAAGAGGUUUUAAAGUGUCAAACUGCAGCUGAUUGAAAAGAAUA